rnacentral:rRNA from 12 species
ACGGGUGAGUAACACGUGGGCAAUCUGCCCUGCACUCUGGGACAAGCCCUGGAAACGGGGUCUAAUACCGGAUACAACCACUGACCGCAUGGUCGGGUGGUGGAAAGCUCCGGCGGUGCAGGAUGAGCCCGCGGCCUAUCAGCUUGUUGGUGAGGUAGUGGCUCACCAAGGCGACGACGGGUAGCCGGCCUGAGAGGGCGACCGGCCACACUGGGACUGAGACACGGCCCAGACUCCUACGGGAGGCAGCAGUGGGGAAUAUUGCACAAUGGGCGAAAGCCUGAUGCAGCGACGCCGCGUGAGGGAUGACGGCCUUCGGGUUGUAAACCUCUUUCAGCAGGGAAGAAGCGAAAGUGACGGUACCUGCAGAAGAAGCGCCGGCUAACUACGUGCCAGCAGCCGCGGUAAUACGUAGGGCGCAAGCGUUGUCCGGAAUUAUUGGGCGUAAAGAGCUCGUAGGCGGCUUGUCACGUCGGUUGUGAAAGCCCGGGGCUUAACCCCGGGUCUGCAGUCGAUACGGGCAGGCUAGAGUUCGGUAGGGGAGAUCGGAAUUCCUGGUGUAGCGGUGAAAUGCGCAGA